AACGAACGCUGGCGGCAGGCUUAACACAUGCAAGUCGAACGAUCUCUUCGGAGAUAGUGGCAGACGGGUGAGUAACGCGUGGGAAUCUACCUAAUGGUACGGAAUAACUCAGGGAAACUUGUGCUAAUACCGUAUGUGCCCUAAGGGGAAAAGAUUUAUCGCCAUCGGAUGAGCCCGCGUCUGAUUAGCUAGUUGGUGGGGUAAUGGCCUACCAAGGCGACGAUCAGUAGCUGGUCUGAGAGGAUGAUCAGCCACACUGGGACUGAGACACGGCCCAGACUCCUACGGGAGGCAGCAGUGGGGAAUAUUGGACAAUGGGGGAAACCCUGAUCCAGCCAUGCCGCGUGAGUGAUGAAGGCCUUAGGGUUGUAAAGCUCUUUCGCUAGGGAAGAUAAUGACGGUACCUAGUAAAGAAGCCCCGGCUAACUUCGUGCCAGCCGCCGCCGUAACAC
rnacentral:rRNA from 1 species